rnacentral:lncRNA from 1 species
AUUGAACCCGAGUCCUCAUAGAUCCUAGUCGGGUUCGGUACUGCUGAGCCACAAUGGGAACUCCCAUUUAAGUUAAUUUAAAUGAAAUGAAAUAUUCCUUUCCCCAGCCAUAUCACCUGCAUUUCUACUGUUCCACGGCCAUGUGGCCAGGGGCCGCCACCCUGGACGGUGAUAAAGAUGGUGCAUGAAACGCUAUCAUCAGGGGAGGCCGUUUUGGACAGCGCUAAUCUACAGGGUGGUCCCAGCAUCUGAGAGGCCGAGGGGGGCCGGGGCCAAGAAAAUGGGGAAAAGGCUAUGUCACGUCUGACUUCCACGUCCUCGCUGACACCAUGGUGCUCAAACCCGGUGUCCAUCUCUGCUUGCCCUUUGCUGGGCGCGGGCUACCAGAAUUCCUGCUGAGCCUGGGCUCCUGAUCCGGGAAAAUGAGUGGUCUGGAACCGAACCGGCAGUGUUUCUGAGUUAUGCCCUGCAACAUUAGGCUGAGUCUAAGGAUAUCAAGUCAACAAAACAGUCAGAUCAAUGUGCCAGUUGAAAUUCUGGAGAUUUCCUUCUUAGACCUGGCCUUGUCACCAAGCACACAUUCUUGGGGAUUCUACGGGAAUGGCAGCAACGGGAUGCUGGAGGCCGGGGCUCUUAGUACUGCACAGGAGAAAAUGGGUGUGUGAUCUCAGCUCCCAGAAGACCAGAGAUUGAACCCAGGCCACAGAGGUGAAAAUGCUGAAUCCUAACCACUAAACUACCAGGGGAUCCCCAAAUUCAAUGAACUGACCCAUUUGAUCAAUGCAACGACCAAUUAUAUUUUGUGGUGAGUGAUUUUCUUAUCUUUGGCCCUGGCUAUUUCUAUCAUUGCUUAGUAUUUGAGUAUUUUUUAAUUACUUUGGAUUGAGAAUUAUUCCCAAGUGCUAAAAUCACUAGAUAUCCACUAACAAUUUUCAUGUAAGGUAUGACUAUCAUGGUUUUCCUUAAGUAAGUAAGUAUAUUUAAUAGUUCUCCAAAACCAAAGAAUGAUUUAUUUCUGACUGAAAAUAAGUAACAUAAAAUGAGCUUACUACCGAUAAAACUAUGUUUAAAUCACUAGGCCAUUCCUUUCUGUCACUGGUCAAUGGGAGAAAAAGAUGCGAGGCAGAGACAAGUUAGUCAUAGGAACCCAUUGUGGAUUUAAAAAAAAAAUGCCUUUUGUUGUUGUUGUGUUUUUUUAAGGGCUGUGGACUUGGCAUAUGGAAGUUCCCAGGCUAGGGGUUGAACUGGAGCUGCAGCUUCCAGCCUAUGCCACAGCCACAGCAAUGCCAGAUCUGAGCUGAAUCUAUGACCUAUACCACAGCUCAUGGCAAUUCUGGAUCCUUAACCCACUGAACGAGGCCAGGGAUCGAACCCAUGUCCUCAUGGGACCUCCUAAAUGCAUUUUAAAAAAAACUUCUUGGUGUUCCCGUCGUGGCUCGGUGGUUAACAAAUCUGACUGGGAACCAUGAGGUGGUGGGUUCGAUCCCUGGCCUCGCUCAGUGGGUUGAGGAUCCGGCAUUGCCAUGAGCUGCUACAGCUCCGAUUCGGCCCCUAGCCUGGUAUCCUCCAUAUGCCUCGGGUACAGCCCUAGAAAAGACAAAAAGAUGAAAUAAAUAAAAUUUUAAAAUAAAUGAAAAAAACUUC